UAAGGAAUAUUGGUCAAUGGACGCAAGUCUGAACCAGCCAUGCCGCGUGAAGGAUGAAGGUCCUCUGGAUUGUAAACUUCUUUUAUCUGGGACGAAAACGGGAUUUUUAUCUCAAUUGACGGUACCAGAGGAAUAAGCACCGGCUAAUUCCGUGCCAGCAGCCGCGGUAAUACGGAGGGUGCGAGCGUUAUCCGGAUUUACUGGGUUUAAAGGGUGCGUAGGUGGGCUUAUAAGUCAGUGGUGAAAUCUCCGAGCUUAACUUGGAAACUGCCGUUGAUACUAUAGGUCUUGAAUUAUCUGGAGGUAAGCGGAAUAUGUCAUGUAGCGGUGAAAUGCUUAGAUAUGACAUAGAACACCAAUUGCGAAGGCAGCUUACUACAUAUAAAUUGACGCUGAGGCACGAAAGCGUGGGGAUCAAACA
rnacentral:rRNA from 1 species